CAGUCGCCGCGGUAAAACAGAGGGUGCAAGCGUUAAUCGGAUUUACUGGGCGUAAAGGGCGCGUAGGUGGUUAUUUAAGUGAGAUGUGAAAGCCCCGGGCUUAACCUGGGAACUGCAUCUUAUACUGGGUAACUGGAGUGCAGUAGAGGGUAGUGGAAUUUCCGGUGUAGCGGUGAAAUGCGUAGAUAUCGGAAGGAACACCAGUGGCGAAGGCGGCUACCUGGACUGAGACUGACACUGAGGCGCGAGAGCGUGGGGAGCAAACAGGAUUAGAUACCCCUGUAGUCCCUGUCUCUUAUAC
rnacentral:rRNA from 1 species